CUUCACCCCUGGCUCUCGGCAAUGCUGCUCCUCUCUCCUGCAUGGAUCACCUGCUCCUGGAAUUCAUUCUCCCAUUUCUUAGGUUGCCACUUUACUGUAGCUUCCUAAUCGAAGAGUCUUGCUGUGUCACCCAGGCUGGAAUGCCGUGGCACAAUCUCGGCUCAACCUCCACCUCCUGGGUUCAAGUGAUUCUUCUGUCUCAGCCUCCUGAGUAGCUGGGACUACAGGAAGAGUGCACAGGAGCCUGGCACUCCUGGACCUGAGGAAACCCUGAAACUGUUGGUAUUUGCAGAUCCUCUCCAAAAAGAGUUCACCG